UAUAUAAAGAGAGAGUUUUUAUUAAGAAACAUCAUACAGAAAUUAUCUGAUACAAUGGCAAAAUUUACUUUCGUUCUCUUGGCUGUCGUAGCUGUAGUUGUUCUUGCAACGACUGAAGCCAGCUCCAAUUCACUUGAAGGCAAGAGAUUGUAUGCUCAAGAAUUGAAAAAAGUCACUGACACCUGCAACUGUGACGACUGCUUGUACGAUUGCACUGUGGGAGACGGAAAUAUAGGAGGUAUCUGUGUAAACAAUGCGUGUGUAUGCGUACGCGUUUGAUUUAAAACAACGAAAAAAAUAAUGUCAAUAUCAAAAAAUUUAUUAAAACGUAAAAAAUAAUCAAA